rnacentral:rRNA from 1 species
AAUGAACGCUGGCGGCAUGCCUUACACAUGCAAGUCGAACGGCAGCAUGACCUAGCUUGCUAGGUUGAUGGCGAGUGGCGAACGGGUGAGUAAUGCAUCGGAACGUGCCUUUUAGUGGGGGAUAACGUAGCGAAAGUUACGCUAAUACCGCAUAUUCUCUGAGGAGGAAAGCAGGGGACCUUCGGGCCUUGCGCUAGAAGAGCGGCCGAUGUCGGAUUAGCUAGUUGGUGAGGUAAAGGCUCACCAAGGCAACGAUCCGUAGCGGGUCUGAGAGGAUGAUCCGCCGCACUGGGACUGAGACACGGCCCAGACUCCUACGGGAGGCAGCAGUGUGGAAUUUUGGACAAUGGGCGCAAGCCUGAUCCAGCCAUGCCGCGUGAGUGAAGAAGGCCUUCGGGUUGUAAAGCUCUUUCGGCUGGGAAGAAAUCGCACCCUCUAAUACAGGGUGUGGAUGACGGUACCAGCAUAAGAAGCACCGGCUAACUACGUG